CUCACUCAUCUACUGCAAGGUUUAUCCUAGAAAAGAAGGGUUUAUCCUUCUGAUAAAUGUCAAGAUAGAUUACUCUCUCCGGUCAUAGCAGGAACAAACAAUUUGAUCUUCAGGAAAACAACUUUAAAGAUGAGAGCAAAGACAACUAUGAGCAAGAAGAUUGCUACAAAGAUCAAGAAUCAUAGACAACGUAGAGGGAAACUCUUUGGCAGUGAUUUAGCAGUUCUGUUUUCUGAUCUAGAGUUUCUUCAACAGCAGCUAGUUGUUGAUCCAUGUAAUCAAUCCCAAACUCUAGACAUCUACUAGUGACUCUUCCUUCUCCAUCACAUCCGCGACAUCUCCAGCAGCAGUGGCACGCUGGACCAUUGAUGAAAAUUAAAAAGGAAUCAUAGAUAAAAGAUGAAUACAAGAGGAAACACUCGAGAUCAAGACUCCAAAGUAUAUAUUCUUUAAAAAGAGUGCCACCUAUUGACCCUCAUAAGAAUCAAGAUAUUUCUUAGACAAAACACAUCAUUUCUUCAAGAGCUUAUUCAUUCCCAAAUUUCUUAUAAUCUGAAAUUCUACUAAUCUCCACUCUCCUUGCUAUGUUGUCAUCAAUUUGUCUGCAAGGCUGGACUGUGGAAACUUGCCCAUGAAAACAAAACUAUAUUCAAUGCAAAGAGUCUUGCUCAAUCAGUCGUAAGGGUUGUAGAAUGGAGUUCCUUCAACCAAAGCCAUAUCUUUUAAUUAGACACUACUAAAACUAACAUUGCAAGUAUCAAAUUGCUAUACUCAAUGUAAAGAUUCUAUAUCUCAGCUUCUAGGUCAUAUCUUUGUGUCCACUGUGAUAAAGAAACUUGAAUUGAGACAGAUCUAAAUACGAGUGAAAGUGACAAGCAUCAACAACACCAUAAAUUUCAACAACAACCGUCGGCAGAAAAGAAAAGAACAGCAAAGCUACUUAACCUUCAAUGAUGGGGACUUGAAUAGGAAUUUGGAACAACAAUCUAUAGCCAGCCCCGGCUCAAUAUAUUUGAGAGCCUUAGGGCAAAAAAAAUUUUUUUGGCCUAUUAUUAUAUACAAAGAGAAAAUUUACUUAAUUUUUAAAAAUUUUGCAGAGUUUUUAUAGUAAAAAUUGUUAUUUUAAAAAUUUUGGGCCUUUUUAUACAUUUUCUUAUAAAUAAUUAGGCCUCUUAAAAUAUAAUUCUCAUAUUAAUAAUAUUUUAAAAAAAUAUUUGGGCCUUUUUAUAUGUAAAUUUUUUUUAUAAAAAAAAAAGCCCCGGGCCGUCGCACUUCCGCCCUACCCAUCUCAGCCGGGGCUGUCUAUAGCACAGCUAAUAGGUUAUGAACAACUUCGACAAUUCAACCGAUUUUCUCACCAUUUACUUAUCAAACAACCACUGAUCUUUGGUUCUUCACACUGCUUCUUGAUUAGGGUUUUGCACCGAUUGAAGAUGGAACU
rnacentral:lncRNA from 1 species